CAGGUAGGACUACCCGCUGAAC
rnacentral:rRNA from 3 species